UGAAAGAGUUUUGGGUGUGAAGAUCUUCAUUCAUUGACAUAGAGAAGACCCUUGCUGAGACAUCCCUCAGUGGACAGAGCAAGGAGGAGCUGAAAAUGCUGAAAAAGUAACACUUUCCUCCUGAGCCGGAGGAAUUGCUACAUUUCUAUAAUUUUUAGGCCGGAGAAGCAGAGCUCUGCUAGGAAGCCCCCUUAAAUGGGGGCUGAGCAAAGCUCAAUUGUAGUGGCUGUCUAGGAGAGGAGCAGGACUGCUAUAUCCUUCAGGGAGACCAUCCCCCAUCACACCAGGUAUAGCCUGACUUUCCCGAACAGUCAGGAUACCCUUCCCUGCUGAAGCAGUUCCAGGUGUGACUCUCCUGAGCAGUCAGAAAAUUUCCCUUCUAGGGUGGGCUGUGUCUUUGCAGCUCCAGCCGUCAGAGCUGUACUAAACAGCUCCAUAUGUCCAGAACACCUCCAGGACAGAGCUGUGCUAAACAGCUCAAGGUGUCUGGGAUACCUCGCCCUCCAGGGUUGGGCUGCCUCUUGGCAGCUCCAGCCAUCAGAGCUGUCCUAAGCAGCUCAAGGUGUUGCUUGACUCCCUGAGUUGCAAAACUCACAUUUUGGUGCCAAAACUGGGACCAAACCCACAGAGUUACAACAAAUUUACUUACAGUUAGUACAGGUCAUCAAACUAGGGAAGGGACUGUAAGGGUAAAGAGACCUUCAUAGGGGUGGAGACAAAAGAAAGUGAUAUAAUAAUGUGACAUGAGAGCAGGAAGGCUACUGGGUAGGGACCUCAGGGAGCCAUUAGGAGGCAGACACAGGGAAGGGGAGUGGGAAGGGUGACCAUCAGUGAGGUUUAGGAGGCCCUCUCUUAAUAAAAUAGAGAGUGUGAGGUUGUUUUUCCUGGGCCCUGCUCUGAUCUUUUGAAGGAGCCUAUGAAUAAAAGUUUUGAAGCUUAAAAUUCUCUUCCUUCUCAUUCCCAGUUACCUGUCAUGGCAAAGCCACAUUCAUGUGCCUUAUGAGAUCCUAACAUUUUAUUUUAGAUGUUUAGGGUAAUGCCAUAAGAAAUUAUACAGAAAAUAAAGGCAUUAUGACCAAAAAAAAAAAAAAAAAAACAAGUGUCCUUUUUAAAAGGAGAAUGAUAAAAUGUUCAGACAAGUAAAAAAUAUCCGUCAAAGUGAAGCUGAUAGGAGCUCCUCUCUAAUAAAGUUAAACAACUCAGAAAAGGUUUACCUGGGAUCUAGCAUCGUGUGUGUGUGUGUGUGUGUGUGUGUGUGUGUGUGUGUGUGUGUGUGUUUGCGUGUGAUGGCUAGAGGGCCAACUCAGGUGUUGUUCCUCCUCAGGUAUGAUCUAUCCUGAUUUUUUGAGACAGAAUCUCUUCCUGGCCUAGAGCUUGCCAAAUAUGCUAGGCUGGCUGGCAGUGAGCCCACAGAUCCACCUGUCUCUGCCUCCCAAGUGCUGGGGUUCCAAGCCAUGGCCACAAUGCCAGGCUUUUGUAUGCGGGUUCUGGGUACAGAACUUACUUAGGUCCUCAGGCUUGCACAGUCAGCACCUUAGGGACUGAGCUGUCACCAUCCCCUAAUAUCUCAACCAAUCUUAGCCAAAUAGAUUUAUGUAGCUGACAGUCUGAUUCCUCUGUUUAAUCCUGAUCAUCUGCUUUACUUAGGUUUGCUAUUUUUAUUUUAAAUUUCUUCCUCCCCCCCCCCCCCUAUUUUGUUUGUCUGUUUUGCAACAGGGUCUCUCUAUGUAGCCCUAGUUGUCCUGGAACUCACUAGAACAUCAGGCUGACCUCAAACUCAGAGAUCCUCCUGAGUGCUAUUUUAAACUUAAGUUGAAGAAUCAGAAGCACAGAAUGAAUUCCAGCUGGGGACAGAUGGCAGUUCUCUCCAAAAGGUCUUGUCAGUGCCAGUGUUUGAAUUUCUGUAUGUGAAGUGUUCCAAUUUAGCCGACAGACACUCUGGCUGAUUACUGGGUGUCAAUUUACGCAUUUAGAAAAAGUAACCUUAGACGGUGAAACUUCAACCCAGGAUUUAUCCAACCAUUCAUGAGGAUCUCUCUUCGACGUCAUUAAAUUGUGGUCUGCAAUUUGUCGAAUUGUUAAAGCCGUCUC